UCCCAUAUGGUCCAGUGGUUAGGAUUCCUGGUUUACACCCAAGCAGCCUGGGUUCGACUUCCAGUAUGGGAA